CCGCCAUGCGCAUCUCUCAGACCGGACGCGUCGCUCGGGCUUCCGAUCAAAUCGAGCAGACCGCGCUCUUCUUCUGCCAGAUCUCGAUCUCGCGCUAGGGUUCCUCGGCCCACGAGCUCGAGCGGGCGUUUAUUUAUUUAUUCCUUCUGUUGGUCUUGCAGGAAGUAGGAAAGGGAGCGAUGGAGGAUGACUCGCCGGCCACGAAGACGGUGAAGGGCGCCGCGACGGGUCUGGCCGCGGGCACCAUCUGGGGCACCAUCGUCGCCACCUGGUACGACGUGCCCCGGGUGGAGCGCCACGUCGCGCUCCCGGGCCUCGUCCGGACGCUCAAGAUGUGCGGCAGCUACGGGGUCACUUUCGCCGCCGUCGGAGGAC
rnacentral:lncRNA from 1 species